ensembl:lincRNA
CGGAGGACUCUGGGGACAGGAAGGUCCUGGGAGCUGUGCUGGCCGGGCCCAGAUUGAUGCCCACGUCCCUGGGCCACCAACUUGGCCUCCACGGUCCCAGCCCAGCCUCAGCCUUUCUCCCUGUGCAUGUCUGAAGAGCAGGAACAGCGGGCAGGAUCAGCGGCCAUCCGGUCCCCCUGACCACCCCCGGACAGGAGCCACAUGGCCUGGAGGAUCCACUUCCCACUCCUGCUGCUGCUGCUGCUCCCAGGUGAGGGGGGUGGGGCAGCUGGGACUGUGACAGGAGAGCCGGGCUGGGUGGCGCGGUGGCACUCGGCCUUGCUCCCCAGGCUCCUGGGUGCUCUCAGACAGGCAGAUACUUCAAAGAGUGGUGGGAGAGACGCUGUCGGUGACGUGUAACUACCCAUCUCCCGGCGAGACCUACAAGGAGAAGAGCUUAUGUCGGGAGGUGGCAGGAUUCGUGUGCGCUAAGUUGGCCCCCAGCCCCAUGGCCCAGGGCCGGGCCCCACGGCUGUCCAUCUGGGACGAGCCUCAAGCCGGCCUGUUCAUCGUCUCCCUGGCUGAGCUCCGGGAGAAGGACUCUGGGCACUACUGGUGCUCCAUGCGCCACACCUCCAGCAACACUGUCUUCAACUCUGACAAGUUCUACUUGGCUGUGUCGCCAGCCCCCACACAGCCCUCCAAAGCUGCCUGCAAGCCCACCUCCUCGAAGACCUGGAGCUCUGUGUCCCCAACAGGAAGAAGCACCGAGACCCCUUGGGCUCCAUCUGCCUUCACCACGCCAGCGUGGCCUCAGAAUGCCACCCUCUGCCCUGGCCCUGCGGUCCCCUGUGCCCUGGUCCCUGGGUUCUGCGGACUCCUUGUCGCCAAGAGCCUGGCACUGUUGGCCCUGCUGUGGGUCUUGAGGGGCAGAUGUGUACGGUAUAGAUGGGGGUCCUGGGAGCAGCCGGCCCCAGCCCCAGGCCCACAGGGCUCCCCUGAGCCACAGGACCUGAAGCAGAAGCCCAGGGUCCCCCAGACCUGGGCCAACAGGAGCUGCUCCCUGACCUCUCGACCCUUCAGUCCAGCAAAGACAAGGCCAGAGCUCGGCUGCACCUCUCGAGCCAAACCUGAGGGUCCCCCUCAAGACCAACCACCUGCCCGUACCAGUCUGCAUCCAAGCCAGCACCGUCUUCUGAUGGGAGCAAAGCCCAGUGUGACAUCUCAGCACCCCCGAGGCCCUGGGGACCAUUCUCCCCCACCACCUCUGAGACCGGAAGUAGCUGAAGGAAAAGUGGGCGCCUCAGCCAUCAACACCUUCUGAGUUCAACACUAGCCCAGGGCUGGGAUGCCUGGGUCUAAACACGAUGGGAGACAGGAACCAGUUAACUCAUCUGAUGUACAAUAAGAACCAGGUGGCCUUCGGCAACCCUUGGCGACUCCUAAUUACCAUAUCAUUGACUAUGCAGAUUUGACCCCACCCCUGAGGGCUCUGGACACCAUGACAGUUCCACCAGGGGCAGUAAAAGGUCAAAAAUUCCACCUCCCAGCAGAGGGGCCAAGCCAAACCCCUCACUGGCAGGAGUCAAACAGCAGACCAAAGCCUCAAUCCCACCCCAAACCCUCAGCACCAAACUCUUCUCCUUGGCUGUUUCUGCCCAGUGGAGCAGACUUUCACUUUCAAAUAAACCUUUGAUUCUGCCA